UUAGCUCAGUUGGUAGAGCACAUGACUUUUAAUCAUGUUGUCCCGGGUUCGACUCCCGGA
rnacentral:tRNA from 1 species